GGGAGAACUCCAAGUGCAGAUCAUCUAACCCUCAAUAAUCCCAGACAUUGGUUAUUUAUUGGAAGCAGUUCCCUCUGAAAACUGAAAUGCUAGGAAUUACGGUGGAUUGGUAACAAAAAAUGAAGCACUCACCAAAGAGAGGCAAGUGAAGAUUUCUGGAUUUUGCUGAGACACAAUAAGAUAGAAGUGCACAAAAGGCUUCUUACAAGCUCUGAUCACUCAACAGCUGAGAACUGAGAUGUCACCUAAUCUAAGGAACAGCUUCUUGCUUGGGAAAUUGAUUACUCUGGUCCAUGCUGUUCAGGGCUGGAGCUCAAGCCAGUCAGAAGCGCACACUGUACCAGCAUCAACUGCAGCCUGAUCAUUUUCAUCUGGCCACGUGGGACAGUAAAUGGCC